AUGGCUCAGCAUUUAAGAGCACUGGAUCCUCUUCCAGAGGUCCUGGGUUUGAUUCCCAGU
rnacentral:tRNA from 1 species